CAGCCGCCGCGGGAAUACGGAGGAUCCGAGCGUUAUCCGGAAUUAUUGGGUUUAAAGGGUGCGUAGGCGGAUAGAUAAGUCAGUGGUGAAAGACGGUGGCUCAACCAUCGCAGUGCCGUUGAUACUGUUUAUCUUGAAUAUGGAUGAGGUAGGCGGAAUGUGGCAAGUAGCGGUGAAAUGCAUAGAUAUGCCACAGAACACCGAUUGCGAAGGCAGCUUACCAAGGCAAAAUUGACGCUGAGGCACGAAAGCGUGGGGAUCGAACAGGAUUAGAUACCCCCGUAGUCCCUGUCUCUUAUAC
rnacentral:rRNA from 1 species